GAUCCGGCGGCCUAGUGGUUAGAGUUUCCGCCUCGGAUGCAAAAAGUCGCGGGUUCGAACCCCGGUUGAGUCA